ACGUUACUAGCACCCGACUAGCAGGUAUGUACUUACUAGAAAACUAAAGCUGGAAAUUAAGAUUCAGGAUCACCAGCAAGCCAUGGCUGAACUAUAAGCCUUCAGAUGGUCAGAUAAAGUACCUGAAGCUGAAAAACAGGAAAUUGAAUAGUGUCACCCAAACGUGCCUGUUGUCAUGCCCUGUUACAGCUACAUUUCUUGGAUUCACAGAAAGGUGUGUCCUCUUAGUGAGAGGACAGGAAAGAGACUGACCUGAUUAAACACUUCAGUAGCACCUACUACAUCCCAGGCACUAUUUCUCAGCUCUUGCCAAAGUUCAGCACUCCACUGGAAGUUUUGCUAAGCUUCAAGAUCAUUCCACCUCAAAGAUCUUUAGAGAUACAUAAAGUGAAGAUCUAGCGGACCCUCUGUUUCAGAGCUCUGUGCCAAGAUUUAUCUUCAGCAAAGACCUUUGGAGCCCAAUAAAUCAUUAGACUAAUUUGGAAACCCAUGGAAAAAAUGUUUUAUUUUAAUUACAUUUGACCCUGGAUAAAAAUAAAAACAGUAAUGAUCAUCUGAUUCCACCACACUUAAUAAAGCUUGUUCUUGUUCUAAGUGCUUCACAGGAUUUGCCAAGUAUUUGCCUCAUCUCAUAGCCUGCAUUUGUCAUUCCCAUUUCCGUGAUAUCCUAAAAUCUUUCAAGUCAAAAUUUAUUGCGGAAUUUUAUCACUGAGCUAAAUGGUGGGAGGUCUGCAAACAAAAAAGUAGAGAUUAGUAAUAGUUGAAUUCCAUAUUCUUGCAGUGCUACAAAA